GGGGUUGUAGCUCAGUGGUAGAGUGCUUGCCUGGCAUGUGUAACAGUGCGCACUGGGUUCAAUUUUCAGCACCACA
rnacentral:tRNA from 1 species